rnacentral:rRNA from 1 species
GACGAACGCUGGCGGCGUGCUUAACACAUGCAAGUCGAACGGAAAGGCCCUGCUUUUGUGGGGUGCUCGAGUGGCGAACGGGUGAGUAACACGUGAGUAACCUGCCCUUGACUUUGGGAUAACUUCAGGAAACUGGGGCUAAUACCGGAUAGGAGCUCCUGCUGCAUGGUGGGGGUUGGAAAGUUUCGGCGGUUGGGGAUGGACUCGCGGCUUAUCAGCUUGUUGGUGGGGUAGUGGCUUACCAAGGCUUUGACGGGUAGCCGGCCUGAGAGGGUGACCGGCCACAAUGGGACUGAGAUACGGCCCAGACUCCUACGGGAGGCAGCAGUGGGGAAUAUUGCGCAAUGGGCGGAAGCCUGAUGCAGCAACGCCGCGUGCGGGAUGACGGCCUUCGGGUUGUAAACCGCUUUCGCCUGUGACGAGGCGUGAGUGACGGUAAUGGGUAAAGAAGCACCGGCUAACUACGUG